rnacentral:rRNA from 1 species
UACGGGGGGGGCGAGCGUUGUUCGGAAUUACUGGGCGUAAAGGGUUUGUAGGUGGCCUGCUAAGUCAGACGUGAAAUCCCUCAGCUUAACUGGGGAACUGCGUCUGAUACUGGCGGGCUUGAGGACAGGAGAGGAACGCGGAAUUCCAGGUGUAGCGGUGAAAUGCGUAGAUAUCUGGAGGAACACCGGUGGCGAAGGCGGCAUCCUGGACCAACACUGACACUGAGGAGCGAAAGCCAGGGGAGCAAACGGG